GUGUAAUUUUCUAAGCAUAUAAUUGGUUUUAUGAAUUUUCUUAUUAAAAUGAUUGAAUAUAAAAUAUUUUACAUUUUUGUUCUUUGGUUUAAUGUUUCUAUAGCUUUAGAAUAUAUAGAGUUAAAUUGUAAUUUCUCCAGGUAUAUUUUGAAUUAUUUUAAACAUAAUGAAAAAUACUUGCUAAAAUUAGAAGAGGAAAAAUCAAAUAUUUUGAUUGGUGAUUUACAAAUAUAUGGACGAGCAAUACAAUCUCAUGGUGAAAUUGUAAUUGCAAUGUUAGAAGCUUUAAGAUCAGAAGAUUGGAGGGAUUAUCCAUCAUCUCUUAUGAAUGUAAAUUUAUACUUGAAUAACGUUUCAGGAUCUGUAGAAAUGAGUUUUAAAAAUAAAAAUGGUAAAUUUGAUGAUUCGAAUAGAAUAUUAAAUUUACUAGAAGGAUUUUUGAUGAUACAUAAAGCUAUAGUAAAACGCUUGGAAUAUUUUGUCCUCAGCACAUGUUUUGAUAUAUCUUUUGAGGAAGUAUUUACGAAUUGCCCAGAUUUCAAUAAGGAAAAAGAUUAUAGAAUUAAAUUUCUCCCUGAUAUUGUAGAAAAACUAAAAAACAGGUUGUCUAUUAAUGACUUGCAACUCAAUGAUGAAAGAUUGAAAUUAAAACACAGUGAAGUAUUUAGAAUAUUGAAAUUAGCAAUAAAAAGUGAUUCUCGAUGGGAUUUCCAUCCAAAAAAAUUGUUAUACUAUGAUUUAAUGAUGGGACUGCAAAAAUUUGAUGAACGAAAUCUGAUUUCAGGUGUACAAUAUAGAAAAAUACCAGAAGUAAAAGAUUGUUGGGCCGUUAACGUUAUAGAUUAUUUUAAAUUUUCACCACUUACAUAUAAGUGUCCCGAUGAUUCAUAUGUAACACUUUUUGACGUAUUUCGUUACAUGAAAUACAAUUUUAAUACAAAACAAUUACAAGGAUAUCAAGAGCUAGUGCUAGCUUCAACUAUUCGGCCUAUUUUAUUAGUUGUCCGUAUGUAUAUUUCAUUUUUAAAGAGGAUAAACGAUUUUUGCAAUUCUAAAUGGUAUAAUAAAAAUAAAAAUAAUCUAGAUCAAAUUCGUAUUAGCCUCACAGAAAUUGGUACAGCAAUAAUUAAACAAAUUGAAUAUUUCAAUAAACAAUUUAUAAUUCAAAAACUACCGAAAACUUUUUUAAACAAUAUUUGUAAUGAUAUUCGUAAUAUUGUUGGUAAAGAUAUAUCUCAGUCUUAUCGUACAUUGGACUGCAUAAUGUUAUCUACGAAGACCUUUUUUUCUAAUAAUAUAUUAAAUAGUUAUUGUGGUAUAAUAAUGAAUUAUAGAAUUACUCAUUUUAAUAAUAUUGUUCAACUCUAUAACAUAUUUUCCCGACGUGUUAGUGAAAUGUCAACAUACCUAAUCGAACUGGACAAAUACAAAGAAUCUCUUAAUUCAAUGAAUAAAACACGAAACAUAUUUUCCUUUUAUUUUAGAAAGAGCAGUGAUGACAUCUUCAAUCCCUAUUCAAUUAUGAUGAAUCGGUUAUGCAGCCCGGAUAUAUACAAUGAAAUAUAUAACAUGGAGACUACUGAAUCUUUUAAUGAUGAAACAUCUAGAAUUAAUACGGUAAAUCAAUAUACUGUUGAUAACGAAAAACAAACAGAUAUCCAAAAUAUUGAAGACUUAUCAGAACUUAAUAUUUCAAUGCCAAAGUAUAUGGUCGAUUACAUUCUAUUUAUAUAAUAUUCAUAAUAUUAUGUAAGUGGUUGUAAUUUUGUUGAUAUUAUUUUAUUAAUCAAUUAUACAUAUAUAUAUACGUGGGUGUGUGCGUGUGUUAUUAUAAAAUUCAAUGUUACUUUUAGUUCGAAUAAUUAAGUUAUCUAAAUAUAAGAUUUGUAAAUAAAUUUUAUAAACCAGGGCAGUGAGGAUGUGGAUUUAUUUUGACAAGUAUAGAUUAUAUUUGUGUGCCAUGCUACUCCUUAAUAUUAAAGGGGGUUGCCAGUUACAGUGGGUAGUGUUGUUUAUUUGGGAUAAACAAAAAUUAACGGAAAUAAGAAGUAUAUCUGUUUUACUACAUAUAAAAAUACUAAUAUAUAUUCAUUACAGUAUCUUAAAAUAAAGGGUGGUUUGGGGAUGUCUCAAUUACUAAAAUGGUCGACAGAGCAGCUAUGAAGAAAUAGAUAAAUAAAAUAAAAUAAAUAGGAUUAAAUAAAUAAAACUUAGCUAUAUAACGUAGAAUAAAAUGAUGAAAAAUGGCAGUGAGAUGUAGACAGAUGUAUGCGUUGAAUUGCUCAAGUCGUGAACGAUGAUAAUGGUCCGUAAUGUGCCACAAGGGCCGACAACUGAAAGGGAUGCAAAAGUACGAAUAGCGCGAGAGCAUUCAGGACAUUCAAUAUUAUCUUUUGCGGAUGACGACUAUCGAUUAUUAGAGACAUUAUCACACGGCGGUGGCCAUAAUAGUAUUAAGAAAUAUCGGUUUUUUGACGAAAAAAAAAUGUAUUACGGUGAAAAGUAUGAAUUUUAAAAGUCAAAUCCGUUAUUUUGAUAUGCGACAUGCACAUUUUUGAAUAAAGUUCGUACGUAAAACGUUAAUUUUUCCUAAUUUAAAAAAAACAUAGAUUUGUUCGAAACAUUGUGUCAGAAGACUUUAUAGAUGAUUAUAUAUUUUUAUACUAUAGCAUUUGAGAUUAGUACAGCUGAUGGCUUAACGCGGCGGCGGCGAUGUCGCCGUCUAUUACAUUAAUUGUUAAUAUACGAGUUAAUAAGCUUGACCGUUAUUCGUAUAGUGAAUAAUAAAUCAGUAUUUUUUAUCGACAAUAUAUAAUAAUAAUAAUAACGAUAGUUCAAGUUUUCCUAUUAUGAGAUGUUUAGCAAAUCACAUUCCGAAAUAAAUAUUACUACCGCAGCCACCGACGACGACGAUGAUAAUCGCUGGAAUAUAUAUUCUAAUGUUUAUAAUAUUAUUAUAAUCUACAUAACUGUAAUACACUUAUCGAUUA